rnacentral:sRNA from 1 species
AAGAAGAAAAGUUAGUGGGUUUUAGUUACUUAUUUUGAAAUGUAAAUAGCGCAACAGGUGCCAUAUACAAACUGCCUUUUUUUCGUUUUAGUUUACUUAUUGUGAAAUGUAAAUAUGUCCCACUGCUCAAUUUUUAACGGGACUCCAGGUUUUAGUUACUUAUUAUGAAAUGUAAAUUUGGUUCCUUUGGAAAACAACAAUAACGUGUAGUAUUGUUUUAUUCAAUCAUUCAGAAUUGGUAAAUGCAGAAGCAGCAAAAUAACCAAAAGUAAUGACUUUCGUUUUAAUUUCUUAAGAUGAAAUAUAAAUGAAAACCUGUUAUACAUAGGAUUAUCUAUUUCCGUUAUAAUUAUUCCUUGCAA